GAUUACCAUGUACCAGCUAGGACCCAGUGAGAUUAGAUAAUAUAAAUUUGUAGCACAACCACCUGAUACAACUGUGUGGCUUUCUCUAGCAACGGAAUAGGAAUAAAGAAGGUGAUCUGAAGGUCCAUGUCAUGGAAACUAAAGAAGCUAGUAGAUCCGGCUGCCUGAGGCACAACAACGGUUACUAGACCGGCAGAAAAGGGAAACACAGUAUAGUGGAUUUCAACAAAGAUGUCUAUUACUGAGUUUCUACUUCUUUCAUUCUCACAUCAAGAGUUGACCUCCAAAUGAGUGACACUUUACUUCCUUG